CUAUCCAUGUCCACUUUGGUUUGAUUUAUCACCAGGCUUUUGUUGUGCCAAGUGGAGUCUGAAAACAAAAAGGACUCCUCGGAAUAAUGAAGAUGCUCAGCAGGAGGGGAGGGAGAGAAGUCAUCCUGGAUAACAGAGCUUGAGGAGAGAAGAGAAGAUUAAUACAGAAGUCUGAAGCCAGAUGCUGUGUGUGUACCUGUGGUUUCAGCUACUUGAUCAACCAUAUGUCUGCUGGAAUCACUUGGGCUUGGCUCCUGGCUGCAGUUGGAUUCUGGUUCUCAGCUGGGAAGAACUGAGUCAUAUUUUUAAUGCUAAGGUCAAUGCGGAGCCCCAGACACUGUGGAUACAGCUUCCAAUUGGUGCUCUCAGUUGUCCUUGUGGCUCCCAGUUCAUCCUCAGGCUUCCAAUUUGUCCUGACUCUCAUUCAUGUCCAGCCUUCUCCUUGACAGCCGAUAUAAGUGACCCAGAGACAACGUUAGUGAACAGAGUUCUCUGCCAGCUCCCACAAUUGUGUAAGGUCUAAAUGCUGUAAUAAAUCCCCUCUCUGAUGCUCACAGUGGAUCUCUGAUUGAAACCUGA